AAUGAGGGAAACAGACAGGGAGAGGAGGAGGAGGAGGAGGAGGAGGGAAGAGGGAUGCUGCAUUUUAGUGAUAGCACAGACUGAGACUGCAGGAGCAGACAGAGGGAUGGAGAGAAUCGAUGAGAGAAGUAGAGGAGCAUUGUCAGAGAGAGCACGACAGGAUUCCCACACAGAUUGUGACAAACGUGUACCUGAGGGAGCAGCAGAGGAGGGGAAAGAGAGGGGGAAAAACUUGCAUCUCUGACCUCAGCAAGUCAAAAGACACUUCUCCUGCACAGGGAGGAGAGAGGAAACCACCUGUAAUCAAACUCAGAGACUACCAGCAGGCUGUCCUCCCAUCUGUCUUAACAGGAUGCAGAGGUGUCAUUUCAGUGCCCGGGACAAAGGGAAAAGCUGAACGGAUCCUGACGUGUUGUUAGAGAGAGAAGUCAAGAAAAAAAAAAGAAAGAGAAAACUGAGGAACAGUUGCAAGCCUCUGGAAGGAAAAGGGAGGAGAGAGCAGUAUGAGUCAGAGCACAGCAGCUAGAAUACUGUGUAUUCUGCAUGCAAGAGGAGAGGUGGAGGGAGAUGGAGGAACAAUGAGGGAGAUAUAGGGGGAGGAAAAAACAGAGGACUUGACCAGAAUUGAGCAGUCAUUAGACAGAAGAAGGACAAGAUGAGAAAGAAUCAGCCACACUGACAGGCAAGUGGGUGAGAUAUAGGCCAAGUGAAUCAGCCUGCUGGAGGGAGAGGAAGGCGAGAAGAGGGUGAGUUUAGAAAGUGGGAGGUUUGAUAUGACUGACGAGGGUUAAGGGAAGGUUGAAUGAAGGUUUUGCUGCAGGGUGGACAGUGAACAAUAAACGGCAAAGGACAGAAGGGCAGACUUAAUGAAAAACUAUGUGAGCAGCUCCAGGGGAGAAAGUCCUCAGUGACUGUGUCUUGCUACAGGGAGGGAACAUGACUGAGGUCUGCAUAUGGCAGGACGAGCUUCAAGAAGAUUGACCAUUAAGAAUGAAAGAAACGAUGGAGAGUAGAGGGUUUAAAAAAGAGCACAAAAACAUACAGGGACAGUGAACAUGGCAAGAUAAGAGCAAAAUUUCACAUCCAAGCCGAGAGCUAAAAAGGAACACACUGCAGACCAGAGGAACAUGUCAUCCAACGCACAACGUCGGGGACGUGGAAACUUUAACUGUGACAGCAACACAGCAAGAGGUUCCUGUUAAAUAUUGAUGCUGACAGGCCACUCUGGAAAGAGCUCGCUCCUUGCACCACAGAGGGGGAAACAGAAGGAAGAAACACAGCUGCUUUUUUUAUUCUGAGGGAUUUUUAAACUGGAAUAGACAAGCUGUUAAGUAUGUCAGAUGAAAACCGAGUGGGGUUAAGUUCAAAUGUUGCUACAAAUUAAGACAAGACGUAUGAAUUAGCAGACAGUUGGCUUCCUGGAGGUUCUUUGUUUUUUUGUUUUUCUGGCCAGCUGUGCAAGUUCUUGGGGAGAGUGGAGUAACUACAGAGAGAAGAGCAGGACCUUAUUCUUGUGUGAGACGACAAGGAAGACGGAAAUUAACAUCUGAGAGUUCACUGACACCACAGCUGGACUGGAACAAUUUCUUCUUUUCUAUGAGAUCAAGGACCAGCCCUGGCUCAUGAAUACAGAUUCAUAUUUUGGACUGACAUGUUAUACCUGCUUUGACAGGUACUCCUGGGGUGCAUCAAUGCCAGAUGAGAGGAGCCAAACACUGGUGAAGCACUCAUGAAUGUUGUCUAUUUUUAUUUUGUCCUGGACUGAUUGGAACUGCUCCAGCUAUCUUGAAAAAAAAAAUGGCCUCAUUACAGAGAUUUGGCCAGUGGAGGAUUGCUGUCAUGGCUUGAGGAAAUAUAAGUGUGGAGAUACUUUGAUGUGCGUAAACACGCAGGAUCCUUUAAUUUGAAGGGGGAUGUAUACUUUGAUUUUGUCUCCAUGACUACAUGAGGGCGACUCUCCAACUUAAUGUCACCAAGACAUUACAAUAGAGACACCCUUCACACUGACCUGAAUCACAGAUUCCUCAGAACAUCCCAACAGUAACACGGGAAGACACAACGCCACAGUCUCUAUCCAGUUGCGGACAGACCAGCUGCGUGUUCGUGUGUGCGUGGCUGCAUGGGGGUAUAAGGACUGUCGAGGAGCUCAGCUGUGUUUGUGCGUAUGCUUGUGUGGGUGUGGGUAUAGAGGUGUGAGUGUGAGCCCAGCUGUGUCUGAGUACAUUUUCAAAGCAUCGCCUGGAGCUGUGUGAGCGUGUGUUUGCGUGUGUUUGUGUGUGUGUGUGUGUGUGCGUGCGUGUGUGUCGCCUGGAUUCUCCCCACCAGCGACAGAGCUGGACCUGAACAGCAGUGGUGAGAGGGGGGACAGGGAGGGGGAGGAGGAGGAGGAGAGGAGGGAGGUGAAAGAAACCAGCAGGACGGAGGAGAAGAAAAAACUGACAACAUGCUCGGAUAAAGAGAAGAAAGACAGGAGUUUUUGGCUGCCCCCCUGGUGCAAUGUGUGGCGUCGUGCCCUGUGGGGGUGGGGUUCUGUGAUGGUAACCAUGGUCCCCGGCAGCCGCUAUGUCUGCAGCGCUCAUGCUAGAGAGGAAGACGCCACGAACGACCGAGAGGAGCGAAUUUUAGCCGUGUUGGGCAUCAUCGGAACCAUCCUCAAUCUCUUGGUGGUCAUAUUUGUCUACAUCUACACUUCCGUCACCUAAGGUUUUCUGCAAGACUUGAACAAGAGACGUUGGCACUGUCCCCAACUUUUCUUUGCACUGCCACCCUCUUCUUUAAAUAUUGAAAGGGUUCGGUUGUUCAGAGUGAGCAAUAUGAUGUGAGGAUCAUUGGCAGUGUGUUCACCUGGAUAGUAGCCAUAUUUAUCCACACCUGCAUCACUGCCUAUCCAAUAAGACUGCUUUUCUCUAGACUGCUAACGGUAACAGGGACAGAGCUGCAGGUGGAGUCAGCUUUUCAAGACAGAUCCACGUCAAAUGACUAUUGACAGUGUGUCCAGUUUGCCAGUGGUCACAUGUUUCUGCAUUCAUAUGAGUGGGACAUAGCACUUCUGUGACUGCUUAAGUGUGUUGCAUCUUUGUCCCAUAACAUGUAAAAGUGUCUUUGAACAAUCAAGCUCAUUUGUGAGAGUUAAAAUAUCAUCACUGCCAGGUAAAUUUAUUGAAAUGGUUUGACGAACAAGGCAACUUUGAGUGAGCUUGACCAAAUAAGAAGUUAGCGAGAUAUGCCAUACACUGCUGAAACUAUUUAAAGGGACCAAAAUUGCCAAGAGAAAUACUAAUCCAUAGGCCUAUCUACUGCUGAGCACCCUUAAAAUCUACUUGAAUAGAACAUUUAUCCACUCACACCUAUUGCUAAAUACCAGUUUCUGUAGUUAAUAGAGUGACUCAAAGGGUUUUACAUGGACCUAAUGUGUCCACACCUAAGCACACCAGAGGAGAGAUUCCUGGCUGUGCUGGGAGUCAUCGGCAUCGUACUCAACCUCCUACUGCUCGUCUUCGUCUAUAUAUACACCUCCGUCUGAUAUAUGUGCUCAUACACAAUAUCCGCCAUGAGAAAAUCCUGCCACACCUAACAGCACCUGUACCUUAGAGCAUAGUGUUCAGCCACACCUGUAUAUAAUGUACCUAAGCACAUCCUAGCCAAGUUGGAGAUUAUAUGAUAUUCUAAGCAGGUUGCUGUGCCUAAUAAUAUGGUGAUACUCUAAUCAUAACAUGUUGAAUGGAGGGUGAUGAGGGAAUUAAAAGGCAAGUGACAUCCAACAGGAGAUUUGUUCACAGACUAAUUUAUGAUAGAAAUAUACUUUAAGACUUUACCUUUUUUGUAUAAAUUUGUGUCUUACAGUUGGUGUUUUUGUAGAUGCAGUGCUCCUUCACAUAUCUGCAUGAUGACAUGUUUACUUAUUAUAAUCUUUAACACACCUUGACUUAAAUACCUGAUGUAAAGACUGCCAUUUCUUACAGUUAUUCUGUUUGUUCUACAUGCUUAUUGAUGUUGUAAACACCCAGACAUGGAGCUGGAUGCUGUUGCAGCUCUGCGCACCUUCAGAGCUCUCUCUGUGGAGGGUUGGUACCAUGGGAUAAUGAUCUAUUUUUUGGUGUCAUGUUUCUGUGAUUGGAUCUGUAAGGCCGGCGAGGAGCAGCAUCAGCGAGGGCAAAGCGUGGAACUGAGACAAUGUCACACAAAUUCAGACAGCGGCCUGUUGCAGUGUGGAGUGCCUGAAAAAAGAGGACAUAAAACCUCUGCACAAGGCCUCUCCAUCUGUCUUGAAACUCAUAAAGGCACAAAAAACUCUCCAGGACUGGGUUACAGCGUUUCCACUAGAGCUGCAUGUCACUAUGGAUAUGAUUUUAGGUUCAAGCACUGGGCCUGUAAUGGAGGAGCAAACCUAAAUGCAGCUGACACGCGAGCAGAGAGGACUGGCCUGAAUCUACACAUGAUCCUCGUCAUUCUCUUCUCCACCAACAAGCUGACGCCGGAGAAGACAUAGUACUGAGAGGACCCACAUGAGCUUCUGCUGUCGUUUCACAUAGCACAAUACUUUUAUAUAUAUGCACAUGCACGGACUUCAUUUCAUACACUGUCAGUCAGACAUUUGGGGGUGAAGACAAAAAGAGGAGGCCCUCACGACCAACUCUGACUGCUCACUUUGACAUGUUGGCUUGUGAGAACUGUGAAUUGUGAGAGGUACUGAGAUUUUGAUAACCAUUGCAUAUAAGAUUCCUUCUUCCAUAGUGUAUUAUGCUCUUAGCGUUAGCAACAGUUUAUUAUUGAGGGUUUUGUUUGAAUCCAAAAGUCACAGUCACUACAGUGGAAAAUGUUUGGUAUGAAAGUCAACGAAUAACUUUGGUUCUGUUGGCCACUGUCUAUUUUUAUAAAGUGUAGAAUAGUACAGAUAAGUAUUUCCAUGGCCAUGACUACAGAAUGCUGGAUGAACAAAUGACCGCAAUUUGCCUGCAGGAAUGAUAAGUUUUACUAUGAAUGAUCAGUUGCUUUGUUUAGUUCCAAAACAGCAACCAGGACAAAUUACAAAGGUACAUUUUAGUUACUUGCAUUGCUUAAGAAAAAUGUCUUUCUCACCAUCUCACAAACAUCUGUACUUCCUUAGUUGAGGACCAUUGUUAAUAAAUUGUAUUAGCCUUUAACCCUAACCCUUUAGCCCCGUUUUCACCAAGCAGUACCGUACGGUUCACUUCAGUUCGGUUUGCUUUUUUUCCGUUCCCAUUGUGAAAAGUUGUGGAUGGUACCAAUGGAACUGUUCUGUGCCGUCCCCAUUUUUGGUCCCCCCUCUGUUGGGGUACCUAGCACACAGAUCUGGUACUAAAAGGUGGAGCUGUGAACACUGCAGGCUGCUGAAUGGUCAAUAGAGGACGGUCACUCUGCUCAGGGCUGAGUUGUGGCUGGUUUUGAAGCUCAUGUAACCACUGUUCAUACUAUGGAGAGUUUCAUUAGAAGACUGUAACUAUAAAUUAAAGGAUGUUUUGCUGCCUCUCACAGCAGCUGGAGUUGGAGAAAAAAAUAACUUAAUCCACUGGGCCAACUGCAGGCAACUUUUAAAGUGGAUCGUUAACUUGUAAUGUUACUUAAUGCAUGAGUUGACAACGUGAAUCAAUCAACACACCUUAAAGAUGACAUUUAAAAGUACUGUUUGCAGUGGAAACACUGGGGUCUAGGUACCAUGUCUGAAGGGUUACUUUUGGUUCCGAAGGUACCAUACCGAAAGUGUUUGGUGGAAACGGAGCUUAACACAACAUGCUUACUCCCCAAAUUUUAUGUAACAUUUACCUAUUUCUGGAAAUCUUAAAGCAAAACUAAGGCUCAUCACAUCUUAGGCUUCUCUUGAUUAUGGUAACAUUGUACUUACCAAAGUCACUGAUAAGAUUAGGGGACAUAGUGGCAUCACACAAGAUAUAUGAUCAUGUGGCCACUACUGUUUCCUGCUCCCUUGACUUAUUUUUAGCAUUUCCACAUUCUUAAAUCUCAACCAAUAGUUCAGAGUAGUUCAACUAUUAAAAUAAAACCCAAAUUUUAAUAAAUCAUUACUCUUAUUUAGCAUUAAAUAGGCUAACCCUUAUGUCUCCCAAAAGCCCUCAAUAUCUAAAUCUCAAACCGGUCCUCACAAAGAUAGAAAGAGAGCCCCCCUACACACACACUUGCUACUUGCGUCCUCAUGAAUUUAAGUUUACACCAUCUUUCAGCACACAUCAGGAGAUUCGACCGUUAGCACGCUGAGAUCGAUGUGACUUGCACAUUUACUUCCUGUCACAUCUAAUAACUGUACAGUGGAGUUUGUUGAGCUAAAUCCAUUUUAAGAGUGCACCAAAGCACAGUGUGAGCCACCUUUGGUUUGCCAGACAUCUGCUGUCAGACUGUGACAGUCGAAGCCACAGCUGUGCAGAAACGCAUUCAAAUAGACUUUGAAAUAACUAAAAGUAGGCUACUGAGGAUAUUUUUGGUUCACUUCGUGCCACCUCUAAAAGGGUCACUUGAUGUUGGCAAACAAACAAACCAAACAAGCAACUGUUUAACUCAGGUUUACUAAGAUACUGGCAGAGGUUUUAAAAUACCACUUUCCAAUAAAGGCCCCUUCAUAAAGGGUUUAUAAGUUGUGGCUAACAGCUAUAUUAAUGUUGAUAAAUACUUUGCUAAUGCUUUACUUUAAUGUUAUAUUAGUUUAAAGCCAUUAAUAAGAACAAGUCGUAGGUUGCGCUUUGGCUGGUGUUUAUCCGCUUUGUGAUAAGGCACACUUUUAUAAAUCAUUAAUUUUAAGUAAUGUCUUAAUUAGUGGUUAAUAAUUUAUUCACGAAUGCUUCAUAGAUCCGUUUGAACCCAGUGUAAAUGAUUUAUUAACCAAUUGCUAAAUCAAUUUAACUGCAGUAGUUAAUUUUGCAAAGACACUGUAUGCGUUUAACAAGCAGACUGUACAAUUCCUGUGAAGAUGGAAGUUAACACGCUGUCCCUGAGUGUCCAAAACUGAUGCUAGAGAACUACGUGCAGGACCACUGACUCAUUGGUAAUAUAUGGUGCCUCACUGGAAAGUGAGACCGAAUUUAGCAAAGUGGGUUUUCAAAGGACAGCGGUAAAAUCAUCUCUCUCUAUUUUCUACACAGAAACAACUAAGACAUAUAUCAAAUGUUUUUAACUUCACUGAAAUCAACAGGCCUAAAUAUGGGACGGGAACUGCCCAUUGGUUCGACAUCCCAUUGUUCUGACCAUAUUAAACUCAUUGUUCCGAAGUCCGUUCCGAAAUCAUCAUGAUGCCCUGUGGUUAAGGUCUGGUUAGGUUUAGGCACAAAAACCACUUGGUUAGGGUCAGGAAAAGAUCAUGGUGUGGGUUAAAAUGAAAAAGAAAGUGACAAACACAUAAGCCGUGAGACUGCUCCGCCUCAAGCCGGUCGCGGCGCACCAUACGCCCGCCGAGAGCCGUUCAGCUGCGCAGACAGUCGGACUAAUGGGAUGUUGAACCAAUGGACUGUCGAACCAAUGACAUGGACCCAUGUGGGACAGGCCUUUAAUUCCUUUCACACAAAACUGUUGCUCAGCAAAGACCGAGUAAUACAAUCAUAUUGUUGAUUUAAACCAGUAUGAAUCUUACUUGUUUGAAGAUUAGGCUUCAGAUGAUAUAUCAGUUAUGAAUCAUUCAUUUGAUCUAGCUCCGACAGACAGCGCAUCAGAGAGUGAGUGAGUUAACGGCACUCGAGGAUUACGGCACCUUGCAUAUCAGCCCAGUAUCACUCCGAAGUCGUCGAAAUCCGGCGCUUGGGCUUUUGGUGUCAGAAACCAAUGACAAAGGCGUCCUUUAACGUUGGCAUGAUACCCGGCAGGUCAGCGGUAGCAGGGGAAAACGCAGCUGGCAAGGACAAAAGUUAAGGUGGCAAAAGUCCAAUUGGGGCAAACAUGAGGGGUGGUGGAUGGGUCCAACAAACACCAGCUUUCACCCAAGCGCUGUGUUCACAUCACAUAAGACUCUAAAGCCAAACCCUAUUCUUUUUUUCCUGAACCCAACUACGUGCUUUUGUUGCCUAACCCAACCAUGUGUGUUUGUGGUUGACAUGACCAAAACGUUAAUAUGUGACGAGGUCAGAGUGAGAAUGUGUUGCUUUAUCCUGUUAAAACAACUCUCUCUCUCUCUUAAUUUUUAUGAAAUACCCUUUUGAUUCUUUUGAUCUAAGGACCUUUACAGACUAAAGAAAUAUAAAUAACUUACAGGGUAAUCGUGGAAUGGACACAGUUUGAGGUAGCCAACAACCUGGUUUUAUAUAUUAUUUAUCCUAUUUAUCCGAAGAACUUCUAUAAAAAAUGCUUGGCAACCAGACCGGGCUUCUAAUUGAGACAGGCCUUUAUUUGUCAAAAUGUGUAGCCACACCGGGCUAGUAAAAGGGACUUUUUCGAGCCUUCAACAUAUUUAAUAAAUAGCAAUUGCAAAAACAUGAAAUAAAAAUCAUUGCAGAUUUAUAGUCUUUAUUAUAGUUUUCUGUAGUCUUGGUCAGGGAGGAAUUGCCAUCAUGUCCGCAGUGAUAAGCACUGACUGAUCUGUCCAGAGCAGCUUUUGAUAAGUGGACCUCGCUCCGUGGCUACAGUACCUGGGAUACAUGUUAUUGUGUGUUUUGUAUGCAGUCCAUGUUUUCAGUUGAGAUCUGUUUUAACAUGACACACUCACUGCCAAACAGACCAACGACAGGGGAGAGCCUAGAGGGCGAGUCCUGACCAUCUGCUGUCCCAACAGACAUUCAGCCACUUCCUCAAAGUACACACACACAUACACACAUACACACAGCAUGGACAUUUUUUUAACAAUGCAACUCAAAAGUCUCCCUCACACUUCAAAAUACACACAUUUUUACAUUGUUUUUUACAUUUCUUUGAUGCCUGUUUACUGUAUUUUAUCAUUUUUACACGGUCAACAGGCCAACAUGUGCACACACAUCAUGUUAUCGAAACAGUACUCAAUGCCAGAGGAAAAACAGGUGCAUCAAGGUACACCUGGGACUCCAAACCACUGCCCCAGGCACAGAGUGUUAACACAAAACACUGAAAACAAGAAAGCAAUGUUCAAAGACAGGCAAAUGCUCAUUCUGAGUCUGGAUUCAAAAAAUGUUCUUCCUCUGAGUCUGAGCCAGCCAGCGACUGUGUUAUGUUCAGCCAAAGCAAAGAUUCCCAUGUUUUUUCAUGAUGCAUGAGCCGAAUUGAUUUUUAGCCUGAGAGGGCAUAUUGCACACAGACUGUCUGAGACUAGACAAGAGGAGAUAAUGUGGACAAGAGGAUCCCUAAGAUAUGUUAAUGUUAUUUCAGUGCAACAAAGCUGAAGAAAAUUGAGUCAUCUCAGAUUUUGACCAAAAUGAAGUCUGAAAAAAAGAAAAACACUUAUUUGCCUGUGAAGGUUGAAUUGUUACUGCCUUGUUUUGUACAAACAGAUUCCACUAAUACAGUGUUUUCUGCGUUAUCUGCUGCACAAGGCUGAGAAGAGGUACCUUUGAAUGCAAAUUAUUCCAUGAGCAGGCAGGUCCAGGGAACUGCCAGGUGUAACAGAAAGCCUGAGAAAUUAGCCUUUGACCAAAGUUUUGUGUGACAUGUUGAUUUACUGACUAACAUUCCAGGACAGUAGCUGCUACAGCACUAAUAAAAUAAACUGUAGCUUUGAAAUGGGAGAUAACGUUUGCCUCUAUCAGCAAGAAAUAGGUAUUUUAUUUUAAUAAGGAAGUUACGUCCUCUAGAAUAUGUGUGAACAUGUCGAUUUCUGAUGAGAAACAGUUUGUUAUGAUCCUUGAGAAUUAACUUUGAACAAAUGCUGUGAGAUCUGGUGUGCUUUCAUGUAUUGUUUAUAUAUAUAUGUAUAAUGUAUAGUUAACAGUA